CCUACGGGCGGCAGCAGUGAGGAAUAUUGGUCAAUGGUCGGGAGACUGAACCAGCCAAGCCGCGUGAGGGAUGAAGGUACAGAGUAUCGUAAACCUCUUUUGUCAGGGAACAAAGGCGGGGACGUGUCCUCGGUUGAGUGUACCUGAAGAAAAAGCAUCGGCUAACUCCGUGCCAGCAGCCGCGGUAAUACGGAGGAUGCGAGCGUUAUCCGGAUUUAUUGGGUUUAAGGGGUGCGCAGGCGGUCUGUUAGGUCAGCGGGCAAAGCUUGGGGCUCAACCCCGGCCCGCCGUUGAAACUGGCAGUCUCGAGGUGAGUAGAGGUAGGCGGAAUGCGCGGUGUAGCGGUGAAAUGCAUAGAUAUCGCGCAGAACUCCGAUUGCGAAGGCAGCAUGCCGGCUCCACACUGACGCUGAGGCACGAAAGCGUGGGUAUCGAACAGGAUUAGAUACCCUGGUAGUC
rnacentral:rRNA from 1 species